UACGUAGGGGGCUAGCGUUGUCCGGAAUCAUUGGGCGUAAAGAGCGUGUAGGCGGCCUGGUAAGUCCGCUGUAAAAGUCAAAGGCUCAACCUUUGAAUGUCAGUGGAUACUGCCGGGCUAGAGUCCGGAAGAGGCGAGUGGAACUCCUGGUGUAGCGGUGGAAUGCGCAGAUAUCAGGAAGAACACCAACGGCGAAGGCAGCGCGCUGGGACGGUACUGACGCUGAGACGCGAAAGCGUGGGGAGCGAACAGG
rnacentral:rRNA from 1 species